GAUGAACGCUGGCGGCGUGUCUAACACAUGCAAGUCGAACGGACAUUUUUUGGAAAGUUCUUCGGAACUGGAAUCUAAAUGUUAGUGGCGGACGGGUGAGUAACGCGUGAGCAAUCUGCCUUUCAGAGGGGGAUAACAGCCGGAAACGGCUGCUAAUACCGCAUAAUGCAUCGAAUUCGCAUGUUUUUGAUGCCAAAGAUUUUAUCGCUGAAAGAUGAGCUCGCGUCUGAUUAGCUAGUUGGCGGGGUAACGGCCCACCAAGGCGACGAUCAGUAGCCGGACUGAGAGGUUGAACGGCCACAUUGGGACUGAGACACGGCCCAGACUCCUACGGGAGGCAGCAGUGGGGAAUAUUGCGCAAUGGGGGCAACCCUGACGCAGCAACGCCGCGUGAUUGAUGAAGGUCUUCGGAUUGUAAAAAUCUUUAAUCAGGGACGAAGAAAAUGACGGUACCUGAAGAAUAAGCUCCGGCUAACUACGUGCCAGCAGCCGCGGUAAUACGUAGGGAGCAAGCGUUAUCCGGAUUUACUGGGUGUAAAGGGCGUGUAGGCGGGCUUGCAAGUUGGAAGUGAAAUCUCGGGGCUUAACCCCGAAACUGCUUUCAAAACUGCGAGUCUUGAGUGAUGGAGAGGCAGGCGGAAUUCCCAGUGUAGCGGUAAAAUGCGUAGAUAUUGGGAGGAACACCAGUGGCGAAGGCGGCCUGCUGGACAUUAACUGACGCUGAGGCGCGAAAGCGUGGGGAGCAAACAGG
rnacentral:rRNA from 1 species